rnacentral:rRNA from 1 species
GAUGAACGCUGGCGACGUGCCUAAUACAUGCAAGUAGAACGCUGAAGCUUGGUGCUUGCACCGAGCGGAUGAGUUGCGAACGGGUGAGUAACGCGUAGGUAACCUGCCUCUUAGCGGGGGAUAACUAUUGGAAACGAUAGCUAAUACCGCAUAAAAGUCGAUAUCGCAUGAUAUUGAUUUGAAAGGUGCAAUUGCAUCACUAAGAGAUGGACCUGCGUUGUAUUAGCUAGUUGGUGAGGUAACGGCUCACCAAGGCGACGAUACAUAGCCGACCUGAGAGGGUGAUCGGCCACACUGGGACUGGGACACGGCCCAGACUCCUAGGGGAGGCAGCAGUAGGGGAUCUUCGGCAAUGGGGGCAACCCUGACCGAGCAACGCCGCGUGAGUGAAGAAGGUUUUCGGAUCGUAAAGCUCUGUUGUAAGAGAAGAACGAGUGUGAGAGUGGAAAGUUCACACUGUGACGGUAACUUACCAGAAAGGGACGGCUAACUACGUG